rnacentral:rRNA from 1 species
UACGGAGGGGGUUAGCGUUGUUCGGAAUUACUGGGCGUAAAGCGCGCGUAGGCGGAUUAGAAAGUUGGGGGUGAAAUCCCGGGGCUCAACCCCGGAACUGCCUCCAAAACUACUAGUCUAGAGUUCGAGAGAGGUGAGUGGAAUUCCGAGUGUAGAGGUGAAAUUCGUAGAUAUUCGGAGGAACACCAGUGGCGAAGGCGGCUCACUGGCUCGAUACUAACGCUGAGGUGCGAAAGCGUGGGGAGCAAACGGG